rnacentral:miRNA from 1 species
GUGACAGGUCAGGAGUGGGGGUAAUGUAUUUAUUUGGCCGAGGCUAGAGUCACAUCCUGACAUGGUACUUGUCCUGGUGUGCUAUAGUUCUCGAAGAGAAUCUGCUGGUCUUGAUUCAUUGGUAGG